CAACUACUCCCUCUGUCCCAAAUUUCUUGUCUUAGAUUUGUCUAGAUACGGAUAUAUCUAAUACUAAAAUGUGACUUCAUACAUCCGUAUCUAGACAAAUCUAAGACAAGAAUUUUGGGACGGAGGGAGUACUUU
rnacentral:pre_miRNA from 1 species